rnacentral:SRP_RNA from 1 species
GCCAGGCGUGGUGGUGCAUGCCUGUAAUCCCAGCUACUCAGGAGGCUGAGGCAGGAGAAUCACCUGAACCCGGGACGCAGAGGGUGCAGUGAGCCGAGAUCACGCCACUGCACUCCAGCCUGGGCAAUAGAGUGAAAUUCUGUCUCAA